rnacentral:rRNA from 1 species
AGAGUUUGAUCAUGGCUCAGAUUGAACGCUGGCGGCGUGCUUAACACAUGCAAGUCGAGCGGCAGCGCGGUAGCAAUACUGGCGGCGAGCGGCGAACGGGUGAGUAAUGCUUCGGAAUCUGCCCAGUAGUGGGGAAUAACCAGUCGAAAGACUGGCUAAUACCGCAUACGACCUGAGGGUGAAAGCGGGGGAUCGCAAGACCUCGCGCUAUUGGAUGAGCCGAAGUCGGAUUAGCUAGUUGGUAGGGUAACGGCCUACCAAGGCGACAAUCCGUAGCUGGUCUGAGAGGACGACCAGCCACACUGGGACUGAGACACGGCCCAGACUCCUACGGGAGGCAGCAGUGGGGAAUAUUGGACAAUGGGGGCAACCCUGAUCCAGCGACGCCGCGUGUGUGAAGAAGGCCUGCGGGUUGUAAAGCACUUUUAGUGGGGAGGAAAAGCUCAGACCUAACACGUCUGGGAAUUGACUAACCCAAAGAAAAGACGCAUGGCC